rnacentral:lncRNA from 1 species
CGGAGCGGCGCUGACGGGGCUGCAGCAGGGCCUCAGGGGCUGCGAAGGGGACGUGUUCGCUCCGUUCUUCUUCAUGCACCAUCCCGGGUGAAGAAACGCUAAAAGUGAAAACCAACCAUGGCUUUUUCCAAGGUCUGAUUUUGUUUUAUUUUUUUUGGUCAUGCCCUGCCAUCUGUAGAGUUAGUGAGUCAACUAAGAAAAAGCUCUUUAAAGUACACCAGAAAACUUCUGGCCAGGAAAAUGUAAGUAGACUUUUGACUAACAAAAAUACUGAAUACUCGGUCUGUGCGAUGCAUCCUUGCAGUGA